GGGGAAGAUAUAGAGUGCAGAAUAUAUUUCUCAUAUGGUCAAUGUGCAUGGGACCUGCUCCUCUAGGGGGAAAUCAGUGGACAUGCAAUCUAUACUCCCGGGAGACCAGCUCCCCCAGAGAGUCAACAUGCGUGGAAGCCUUUCCCUCAGGAACAGCCAGUGUGCGUGGGAUACACCUCUCAUGAAGAACAAGUGUAUGUAGGACCCAUCCUCCACAGAGACCCGUGUGUAUGGGACUUGGUGCUCAGAGAAAGCCAGUGUGCAUGGAACCUGUCCACCAGGGAGACCCAGAGUGUGUUUCUACUCCAGCAUCACAGAGAUGUAGCAAUAUUCCUUGCAGUACAUAACAUCUUUACAAAAGUCCAUCUGAUAAGAGCAACACUGAGGAAGAAGCAUUAGAUUCUGGAAAAGAUUUGGUGAUCGAGUGCUGGUGGCAUGUUCUUCAAGUUGUAUCAAUGAGAUGCAGCAAUGGAAACUCAAUGGGGAGAAUGGGGAUGGAUGUGAGCAAUUAUGUUCAAAUUGUGUGCAUAUAAUUGAAAGCUAAAUUCCAAAAUUAGGUAAAUGUUAAUUUCAUUUAUAACGUGAGUUGCUUAUAACAGGGGUAUUAAAAUCAUCCCCCCACACCCAUGUUGUAUUUCCAAUUUCACACAUUCAGUGCUCACAAUGCGGCCUCGUCUACAGUGAAGAAAACAAACACAGAUUGAAUGAAUGCUCUGCAGAACGUUUCCUUUCAGUCUACAGGGGUCAUUACAGGUUACAAUUAUCUGUAGCUUUAAUGCUGCGUCCCACUAUGAUUUCUUUAUCUUUGGCCUCUUGCACUGUUCCAAUGAAGACAAACAGAGAGUUCAGGAAUGACAACAGACAUUGACUCGGCACAACACAGUUCCCAGGACUCAACAACAGAUUAAUAAUAAUAAUAAUAAUAAUAAUGUUUUGUUUAUAGGGACAGCAAAGGUUUAUAGAUUACCAGCAAAGCUUUGAGGUAAGAGGGGGAAAGUUUAAAGGAAAGGCACUGAGCAAGUUUUAUUUUUACAUUGAGGGUGGUGAAUGCUUGGAACCUACUGCUGGGUGUGGUUGUUGGGGCAUAUACGAUAAUGGCAUUUAAGAGACUUUAGGAUAUGCAUGGAAUGGAGGGAUAUGGAUUACAUGCAGGCAGAUAAGUCUUCGCAUUAGGUUCGUCACAGACAUUGUGGGCUGAAGGACGUGUCCUUAUAAGCAGAAUAAUCAAAUAUCUUUGAGUGUAGGAAAGAACUGCAGAUGCUGGUUUAAAUCAAAGGUAGACACAAAAUGCUGGAAUAACUCAGCGGGACAAGUAGCAUCUCUGGGGAGAAGGAUCGGGUGAUGUUUCGGGUCGAGACCCUUCCUUAGACUGAAUUCAGUAUUCUUCAAAUACCUUUUUUCAACUCAGUCAUUCUAGUUAGUCCCCUCCCCCAUUGGCAGAAGAUACAAUAGCUCGAAAACAUGUACCACUGGUCUCGGGAACUGCUUCUUCCCCUCUGUUACUAGGCUACUGAAUGGUCCUCCCAUAAAUUAGGAAGUUAUCCCAAUCUUACAACCUACUUUCAUUCCAGUCACUGGAAUUUUUCUCCAUAAUCGUGACCUAUAAUGCUGUAAAACUAUAUUCUAUACUCUGGUAUUUUUCUCAUUGCAUUACCUGGUGUUCUUGUGUAUGGCUUGACUGCACUCAUGAAUAGCAUGAUUUGAUAAAUUUGGAUAGCAUGCAAACAAAAGCUUUUCACUGUAUUUCGACAUGUAACAAUAAUAAACCAAUACCAAUCCUACCCUGAUGUCUGGUGUCACUGUUUUCACUCUCUUGGCCAUCAGCCAAGCAAACAUUCUCUCUGCAUCUCCACCCCUUUCCUUUUUUGCAGUUUAAAACAUGCUGCCUUUGUAACUUUGCCUAGUUCUGAUGAAAGGUCAUUGACCCAAAACAUUAGCCGUCUCCCUCUGCACAGAUGCUGCCUGAUCUGCUAAGUAUUUCUAGGAUUAUCAGGUUUUAUAACUAAAUAUUUACUGUUUUUCAAGCAAGACUAUAACAAAUAUCUAAUUUAUACCUCAACUUUCUUUCACUGUUCCAAUUGGAUGUGACUAAUUUUCCCUCCUAUCUAGUAAAGGAUCCGGACUUCCGAAUGCAGUACCCCAUAAUAACCCGAUUUGAUUAUACAAGUGUAAAGCUCGACAUUUAGUGGACCAGUAAACUCCCAUUUCAAAAGACUUUUAUUUUCACAAAGAAAAUAUAAAAUUAUUUAAAAAACUGCCUUGUUAGUUAUGAACCAUAGCAAAUAACAGUGUACAUACAAAAUACGUUCAAAGCCAGACUCGGUCAAUAUACAAAAAGUGUUCUCUGACCAUCUGCACAGCUGCCAGUAUGAGAGCAGCAGUUUGACAGUGUUUCUAACCAGUUACAAGCCUGAGAAUUUGUUAGGAAGGUGCUGUCACAGCAGAUGACACCAUGUUUCAGCUGUUGACACCCAGCAGGCUUCUGCUGUUUUCACCAGCAUCCAACAGCUCAUCAGGCCCUCGCAACGUGACAGUUCACCAAUUGCCAGUAAUACUAUACAUCUGCUAAUGAGCUGUGUGCAGUUGGAAUACAAUGAGCCACACCAGGAGCUAUUUAAGGCCAGUGAACCUGACACCAAUCGUGGGAAUGUUGUUGGAGAGGAUUCUUUGGGACAGGAUCUGCGAACACGUGUAUCGCCUCUGCCUGACCCUCCACUUGAACGAACUAACUUAUCAAUGGACUUAUCAAAACUUAUCAAAAGACUUGGAAUCUGACGAAGAAUAUUCAGAUGAAGAUCAGAUGCAAUGUAAACAAAUAAAUUGGGGAAAUAAAUGAUUAUAUAAAGUUUUAUUUUAGUGUCGA